GGGGGCGUGGCGGAAUGGCAGACGCAAGGGAUUUAAAAUCCCUUGGCCUUUGGGUCGUGCGGGUUCGAGUCCCGCCGCCCCCA
rnacentral:tRNA from 1 species